UACGGAGGGUGCAAGCGUUGUCCGGAAUCACUGGGCGUAAAGGGCGCGUAGGCGGCUCAUGAAGGCUGUGGUGAAAGUCCGGGGCUCAACCUCGGAUCGGCCGUGGCGACUCGUGGGCUGGAGCACUGUAGAGGCGGGUGGAAUUCCGGGUGUAGCGGUGGAAUGCGUAGAGAUCCGGAAGAACACCAGAGGCGAAGGCGGCGACCUGGACAAUUACUGACACUCAACUGCGAAAGCGUGGGGAGCAAACAGG
rnacentral:rRNA from 1 species